rnacentral:rRNA from 1 species
AGUGAACGCUGGCGGUAGGCCUAACACAUGCAAGUCGAACGGCAGCACAGUAAGAGCUUGCUCUUACGGGUGGCGAGUGGCGGACGGGUGAGGAAUACAUCGGAAUCUACUUUUUCGUGGGGGAUAACGUAGGGAAACUUACGCUAAUACCGCAUACGACCUACGGGUGAAAGCAGGGGAUCUUCGGACCUUGCGCGAUUGAAUGAGCCGCUGUCGGAUUAGCUAGUUGGCGGGGUAAAGGCCAACCAAGGCGACGAUCCGUAGCUGGUCUGAGAGGAGGGUCAGCCACACUGGAACUGAGACACGGUCUAGACUCCUACGGGAGGCAGCAGUGGGGAAUAUUGGACAAUGGGCGCAAGCCUGAUCCAGCCAUACCGCGUGGGUGAAGAAGGCCUUCGGGUUGUAAAGCCCUUUUGUUGGGAAAGAAAAGCAGCAGGUUAAUACCCCGCUGUUCUGACGGUACCCAAAGAAUAAGCACCGGCUAACUUCGUG